rnacentral:rRNA from 1 species
GAUGAACGCUAGCGGCAGGCCUAAUACAUGCAAGACGAACGGUAAGUUGAGUAGCAAUACUUAGCCAAGAGUGUCGUAAGGGUGCGUAACACGUAUGCAACCUACCCUAUACAGGAGGAUAGCCUAGGGAAACCUGGAUUAACCCUUCAUAGUAUUAUUGGAUGGCAUCAUUUGAUAAUUAAAACUGAGGUGGUAUAGGAUGGGCAUGCGUCUGAUUAGUUAGUUGGCGGGGUAAUGGCCCACCAAGACGAUGAUCAGUAGGGGUUCUGAGAGGAAGAUCCCCCACACUGGCACUGAGAUACGGGCCAGACUCCUACGGGAGGCAGCAGUAGGGAAUAUUGGUCAAUGGAUGCAAGUCUGAACCAGCCAUGCCGCGUGCAGGAAGAAGGCCUUCUGGGUUGUAAACUGCUUUUGCCAGGGGAUAAAAUUUCCAUGCGUGGAAAACUGAAGGUACCUGGUGAAUAAGCCACGGCUAACUACGUGCCAGCAGCCGCGGUAAU